GUGGGGAAUUUUGGACAAUGGGCGCAAGCCUGAUCCAGCAAUGCCGCGUGCAGGAAGAAGGCCUUCGGUUUGUAAACUGCUUUUGUACGGAACGAAACGGUCCUGGUUAAUACCUGGGGCUAAUGACGGUACCGUAAGAAUAAGCACCGGCUAACUACGUGCCAGCAGCCGCGGUAAUACGUAGGGUGCGAGCGUUAAUCGGAAUUACUGGGCGUAAAGCGUGCGCAGGCGGUGCUGUAAGACAGGCGUGAAAUCCCCGGGCUCAACCUGGGAAUUGCGCUUGUGACUGCAGUGCUGGAGUACGUCAGAGGGGGAUGGAAUUCCGCGUGUAGCAGUGAAAUGCGUAGAUAUGCGGAGGAACACCGAUGGCGAAGGCAAUCCCCUGGGCCUGCACUGACGCUCAUGCACGAAAGCGUGGGGAGCAAACAGGAUUAGAAACCCGAGUAGUCC
rnacentral:rRNA from 1 species